GGGUCAGCCGUAGCUCAGCGGUUCCUUCACUACUUUCUUAAGCAAGAUAUAGUCUCUUCGGAGGUUCAAGACCCGCGGGCGCUUUCUGACCUUUUU
rnacentral:vault_RNA from 1 species